rnacentral:snRNA from 1 species
AAUGCUUCCCAAUUUAUAAUAUA